CACUAUUAUCUCUUUUUCUCAAAGUCAUGUCAUUCAUCAAGAGUAUAAAAGGUUGGCACCAUAGAAAAAUAAUUGUUUCAGCCAAAAGAAUUGAUCAAGCCCCAUCAAGGGUGUCAAUUGUAAAAUGUUGAUUCCGCUUACUAUGUAGCACCUCCUGCAGUGAGAACAUACACUUCAUCUUCUACAAUACCACCAACCUCUGAUAUCCAUGAAUGACCAAUUACCUUUUGGAAAGUAAAACUUUAGUUAAAUGAAAUCGUACCUGACAUUCAGUGAAACAUUGAAGUGAAAUACAUGUUCUAGGAAAAGUGGUGCCACUUGGUGGAGAUGCUCUAUGAAAGGGAGUUGAAGGAUAGCAUUGCAUGGAGUUGGACAGAGGCAGACAGUCCUCUUCAGAUUGUAGAUUUGUAGGUAGAUUGCAGAGAGAGACUGAAAAUCAAAGAGUACUUUGUAUAUGCAGCCACAAGAAUAUCACUGCCCCAUAACAAAGGAAGUUAUUAAAAACAAAAAACUCACCAAGCCAAACACAUGUUAUUGCAAAAAAAAAUUUGGCACCAUACUAAAUAGUUGUUAAGAGACAUUUUUUAAGAGAACAUAAGAAAAUGCCAAAAUAGUAUGGGAAAAAAACUGUUAAAAGAAGAUUAUAAUAACUUAUUUGCAAAGAUGACUUAUCAAACAUUACUUCCUUGGGACAAAAUGUCUAUCAAAAUAAGGCAUUCAUGUCUCAGUUUCAAAGAAAAAUGAGAAUUUCUCUUCUUCCAGGAUUCAGAGUAUGGACUUUCCUUAUGCUCUAUAUGAAUUUGUAUACUAUCUUACAAUAGAGAGAAGGAAUACUUAAAAUCGACAUCCAUGAGUGAGCAGAGUAAUACCUUAAUGUGUGAAUCAGGAUAAAGUCACCAAGAGAUGGGUCAAGAGUGAAACCAUUGAAUUAAGAUGAACACUUUUAGCACUUCUUUCUGGUGGUAGCAAGACAAAACUGAGUGAUCAAUUGAUUUAUCCUAGACAUGGCUAAGAGAAGUUAUGGCAAUUAACUGAUACAUCAUAUGAAGAGAAUAGAAAACAAUACUCAGUAAACAAUGAAUUUUUGCUAUUAGUCAUUACCUGAAUGCUUGGAGAUAUG
rnacentral:lncRNA from 1 species